AUUGAACGCUGGCGGAAUGCUUUACACAUGCAAGUCGAACGGUAGAGGGGGCAACCCCCUUGAGAGUGGCGAACGGGUGAGUAAUAUAUCGGAACGUGCCCAGUCGUGGGGGAUAACGUAGCGAAAGUUACGCUAAUACCGCAUACGAUCUAAGGAUGAAAGCGGGGGACCGUAAGGCCUCGCGCGAUUGGAGCGGCCGAUAUCAGAUUAGGUAGUUGGUGGGGUAAAGGCUCACCAAGCCAACGAUCUGUAGCUGGUCUGAGAGGACGAUCAGCCACACUGGGACUGAGACACGGCCCAGACUCCUACGGGAGGCAGCAGUGGGAAUAUUGGACAAUGGGCGAAAGCCUGAUCCAGCAAUGCCGCGUGACGUGAUGAAGGCCUUA
rnacentral:rRNA from 1 species